rnacentral:rRNA from 1 species
AUGAACGCUGGCGGCGUGCCUAAUACCUGCAAGUCGAUCGAACGGACGAGAAGCUUGCUUCUCUGAUGUUAGCGGCGGACGGGGGAGUAACACGUGGAUAACCUACCUAUAAGACUGGGAUAACUUCGGGAAACCGUAGCUAAUACCGGAUAAUAUUUUGCACCGCAUGGUUCAAAAGUGAAAGACGGUCUUGCUGUCACUUAUAGAUGGAUCCGCGCUGCAUUAGCUAGUUGGUAAGGUAACGGCUUACCAAGGCAACGAUGCAUAGCCGACCUGAGAGGGUGAUCGGCCACACUGGAACUGAGACACGGUCCAGACUCCUACGGGAGGCAGCAGUAGGGAAUCUUCCGCAAUGGGCGAAAGCCUGACGGAGCAACGCCGCGUGAGUGAUGAAGGUCUUCGGAUCGUAAAACUCUGUUAUUAGGGAAGAACAUAUGUGUAAGUAACUGUGCACAUCUUGACGGUACCUAAUCAGAAAGCCACGGCUAACUACGUG